GCUGCAUGCUUUAUACAUGCAAGUCGAACGGAGGCCCUAGCUUGCUAGGUGUCCUUAGUGGCGCACGGGUGAGUAACACGUGGGAACAUACCUUAUAGUACGGAAUAACUGCGGGAAACUGUAGCUAAUACCGUAUACUCCAGUAAUGGGAAAGAUUUAUCGCUAUAAGAUUGGCCCGCGCAAGAUUAGCUUGUUGGUGAGGUAAAAGCUCACCAAGGCUUCGAUCUUUAGCUGGUUUGAGAGGACGAUCAGCCACACUGGGACUGAGACACGGCCCAGACUCCUACGGGAGGCAGCAGUAGGGAAUAUUGGACAAUGGGGGCAACCCUGAUCCAGCAAUGCAGCGUGAGUGACGAAGGCCUUAGGGUUGUAAAACUCUUUCAUCGGUGAGGAUAAUGACAGUAGCCGAAGAAGAAGGACCGGCUAAUUCCGUGCCAGCAGCCGCGGUAAUACGGAAGGUCCUAGCGUUGUUCGGAAUUACUGGGCGUAAAGCGCAUGUAGGCGGAACAGAAAGUUAGAAGUGAAAUCCCUGGGCUCAACCUAGGAAUUGCUUUUAAAACUUCUGUUCUGGAAUUCAGGAGAGGAAAAUGGAAUUUCCAGUGUAGAGGUGAAAUUCGUAGAUAUUGGAAGGAACACCAGUGGCGAAGGCGAUUUUCUGGACUGAUAUUGACGCUGAGAUGCGAAGGCAUGGGUAGCAAACGGGAUUAGAUACCCCGGUAGUCCAUGCAGUAAACGAUGGGUGCUAGUCGUCGGACUUUUGUUCGGUGUCGUAGCUAACGCGUUAAGCACCCCGCCUGGGGAGUACGGUCGC
rnacentral:rRNA from 1 species